CCGAUGGAGGGGGGUAACUACUGGAAACGGUAGCUAAUACCGCAUAACGUCGCAAGACCAAAGAGGGGGACCUUAGGGCCUCUUGCCAUCGGAUGUGCCCAGAUGGGAUUAGCUAGUAGGUGGGGUAACGGCUCACCUAGGCGACGAUCCCUAGCUGGUCUGAGAGGAUGACCAGCCACACUGGAACUGAGACACGGUCCAG
rnacentral:rRNA from 1 species